UAUGCUUUAGUAUAUGAGGUACAAGAAUUUUUGAUAUUUUGAGAAAUGGUUUAAUUCCAUUAAGCAUAUUA
rnacentral:tRNA from 1 species